rnacentral:rRNA from 1 species
AUUGAACGCUGGCGGCAUGCUUUACACAUGCAAGUCGAACGGCAGCGCGGGCUUCGGCCUGGCGGCGAGUGGCGAACGGGUGAGUAAUACAUCGGAACGUGCCCAGUAGUGGGGGAUAGCUCGCCGAAAGCCGGAUUAAUACCGCAUACGACCUGAGGGUGAAAGCGGGGGAUCUUCGGACCUCGCGCUAUUGGAGCGGCCGAUGGCAGAUUAGCUAGUUGGUGGGGUAAAGGCCUACCAAGGCGACGAUCUGUAGCUGGUCUGAGAGGACGACCAGCCACACUGGGACUGAGACACGGCCCAGACUCCUACGGGAGGCAGCAGUGGGGAAUUUUGGACAAUGGGCGAAAGCCUGAUCCAGCAAUGCCGCGUGUGUGAUGAAGGCCUUCGGGUUGUAAAGCACUUUUGGCGGGAACGAAAAGGACUGUGCCAAUACCACGGUUCGAUGACGGUACCCGCAGAAUAAGCACCGGCUAACUACGUG